ACUCACACGGCAAUUUAAACAUCCUGAGAGGAUCACUUUACUGCUGGAAUGUGAUACCCGAAGAAACAAUAGCUUUCAUGCAACCUGUGGUCCUUAACAAUUAGUGGAGGUUCUCUUAUAGUGAUCCACAUCGAAGCUAACUUGGAGUUAUGCACAGUGUAGAAAUCUUUAGAUGUCAACAAACUUAUUUCAAUUUGGGAUGUUAAAAAUAUUUGGAAGAUUUUCAUGAUUAUUUAGUGUGUAAAGUGCUUUUCAAAAACAAGACUUUGCUGUCAGCAACAGAACACUUUGAAUGACUCACUGGCCAGAUGCUAUAAGGAAAUCUUUUUGCAGGAGAUCUUGAAGCUUUACCAACCCUAGAAGGAAGAUUGUGCCAUAGAUUGAGUCUACACUAAUAGUAUUUCAUUUAGAAUAAUAUUCAGACCUGAACAACCUAAGUUUUGAAAAGUACUAUAAAAUAUUGUGAUGACUUCUCUCGACCUUGGAGUUAAGGGAACACCUUGUGGAUAAAGUCUCUGUCUUAGGUGAAAAUGAAAUGUAGAAGAAGAAGAAGCAGAAGCAGAAGAUGAAGAAGAAGAGGAAGAGGAAGUGGAAGAGGAAGAGGAAGAAG